rfam:Glarea lozoyensis 74030 mitochondrion, complete genome.
GGUGCCUUAGUUCAAAUGGUAGAACAUUGUGUUUCGGCCACAUAGUUACAGGUUCGAGUCUUGUAGGCGCUU